GGUUAAAAAGCUCGUAGUUGGAUUUCUGUCGAGGGCGGGCGGUCCGCACUAUGUGCGUGUAUCUUGUUCGGUCUUGGCAUCCUCUUGGGGAAUGCUUCUGUGCUUGAUUGCAUGGGGUGGAAUUCAAGACUUUUACUUUGAGGAAAUUAGAGUGUUCACGGCAAGCUACCGCUUUGAAUACAUUAGCAUGGAAUAAUAAUAUAGGGCGUAAGUUCUAUUUUGUUGGUUUCUAGGACAUACGCAAUGAUUAAUAGGGACAAUUGGGGGCAUUCGUAUUAACGCGUCAGAGGUGGAAUUCUUAGAUUGCGUUACGACGAACUACUGCGAAAGCAUUUGCCAAAGAUGUUUUCAUUGAUCAAGAACGAAAGUAUGGGGAUC
rnacentral:rRNA from 1 species